rnacentral:rRNA from 1 species
GGCUCAGGAUGAACGCUAGCUACAGGCUUAACACAUGCAAGUCGAGGGGCAGCACAGUGUAGCAAUACAUGGGUGGCGACCGGCGCACGGGUGCGUAACGCGUAUCCAACCUUCCCGUUACUCUUGGAUAGCCUUCCGAAAGGGAGAUUAAUACAAGAUGGUGUUUCACUUUCGCAUGUUAUUGAAACUAAAGAUUUAUUGGUAAUGGAUGGGGAUGCGUGACAUUAGGUAGUUGGUGAGGUAACGGCUCACCAAGCCCACGAUGUCUAGGGGUUCUGAGAGGAAGGUCCCCCACACUGGAACUGAGACACGGUCCAGACUCCUACGGGAGGCAGCAGUGAGGAAUAUUGGUCAAUGGGCGCAGGCCUGAACCAGCCAAGUAGCGUGAAGGAUGAAGGUUCUAUGGAUUGUAAACUUCUUUUAUACGGGAAUAACAUCACCUACGUGUAGGUGCCUGCAUGUACCGUAUGAAUAAGCAUCGGCUAACUCCGUG